AUUGAACGCUGGCGGCAUGCUUUACACAUGCAAGUCGAACGGUAACAGCACUUCGGUGGCUGACGAGUGGCGAACGGGUGAGUAAUACAUCGGAACGUGCCUAGUAGUGGGGGAUAACUACUCGAAAGAGUAGCUAAUACCGCAUGAGAUCUAAGGAUGACAGCCGGGGACCUUCGGGCCUUGCGCUACUAGAGCGGCUGAUGGCAGAUUAGGUAGUUGGUGGGAUAAAAGCUUACCAAGCCGACGAUCUGUAGCUGGUCUGAGAGGACGACCAGCCACACUGGGACUGAGACACGGCCCAGACUCCUACGGGAGGCAGCAGUGGGGAAUUUUGGACAAUGGGCGCAAGCCUGAUCCAGCAAUGCCGCGUGCAGGAUGAAGGCCUUCGGGUUGUAAACUGCUUUUGUACGGAACGAAAAGCCCUCUUCUAAUACAGGAGGGUCAUGACGGUACCGUAAGAAUAAGCACCGGCUAACUACGUG
rnacentral:rRNA from 1 species